AGGAGGAGGAACUCAUGUUUGUAGUAGCCAAAGUCUGCACAAGGAGACCACAGUUGGCUAUCACUUUAUCUUCCCCACCUUUACCUGGGAAUGUUAAGCAUGUAUUACAUUGACACUGAUGAAUUUGUGUGGGUGGGUGUUUUGUUAUUUCUUGUUCUAUUAAUAAUUUUUAAUUUUGUUGUAUUACUGUACAGGUAUAUGUAAGCUGUCUUGCAAGGCCAUCUACUUUGAAAGACAAGAUGAAUGAAAAUGGAUCCCCUUGUGGCAUCACACCAAGACUGAAGUGUAUUGCACCUGGAAUCUGGAUGAAAACCCAUCUCAUUUCCCUAUCCCUGACAGGCACGAGGGAUUCCUGAUGCUAUUGCUGUGGAAGAAUUGACUGAGGGAAGAAUUGACUUCCAUUGCUCACCAACUGCUGUGAUGGUGUUGCCAGGAGAUAGCUUUGUAUCAAUUGUCAUAAACGGCCAUCCUUCUGCUGGAGUUCUGCUGUGUUUGUAUGUUGCAUGCAUCGUAUGAAGGAAUAAAUUCCUCAUAAGAAUGACCCUCCAGAUAAGACAAUGACCUAUCUAGUCCAGCAUUCUGUUCACCUUGUGACUACCCAGAUGGCUGUGUGAAACCCUCCAGCAGCACCCAGAUACAAGAGCCCACUCCCCUCCUGUGGUUUCCAGCAACUAGUAUUCAAAAACAUUACUGCCUCUUAACAGAAAGGAAGAGCAUAACCAUUGUGGCUAAUCAUUGUGGCCAGUAGCCACUGAUAGCCAUUUCCUCCAUGAUUUUGUCCAACUCUCUUUUAAAGCCAUUCUCCUAAAAGGAUACAUGCAAGCUUUUGAAUUAUGGUGCUGGAGGAGACUCUUCAGAGUCCCAUAGACUGCAAGAAGAUCAAACCUAUCCAUUCUGAAGGAAAUCAGCCCUGAGUGCUCACUGGAAGGACAGAUCCUGAAGCUGAGGCUCCAAUACUUUGGCCACUUCAUGAGAAGAGAAGACUCCCUGGAAAAGACCCUUAUGUUGGGAAAGAUGGAGGGCACUAGGAGAAGGGGACGACAGAGGACGAGAUGGCUGGACAGUGUUCUUAAAGCUACGAACAUGAGUUUGACCAAACUGCGGGAGGCAGUGGAAGACAGGAGUGCCUGGCGUGCUACGGUCCAUGGGGUCACGAAGAGUCGGACACGACUAAACGACUAAAUAACAACAAUAUCCAUCAUGAUGUUUGUUCAGAUGGCCCCACUUGCCAUUAUUAUGAACCAUUUGUUUUACUGUUUUAUUUGACGUUUUAAAUGAAAAGUAAUUGUUUUUGAACUAAGAUUGAACUAAGAUGGAUACCUUUCGCAGAAAAAGUCAGUUUGACAAUGGGGGUUGAAUGGUUUGAGGAAGGUUGUAGCCUCUGCUUGCUCCUCCUUGGUUAAAGGAGGAUCCCGGUAAAAUGAUCCGGGAGGAUAUGCUUCUGUCCAAAUGCCCAGGCGAGAGCAAGGGCCAUAGCACUCCCCCAACAAGGAUCCCUUGGGGGCACCCCUAUUUGAUGUGGGUCAUUAGGGCUCACCCUAGUGGUGGUUUGCUCUUAGCUGCACUUCCAGCAAAUGGACUGGGCAGAAUAUGGCUUUACCCAAUGCCUAAGCCAAAACCGUUCACAUCCGUAAUCAAUAAAGUUGUGGCCUUAUUGAACCCAAUCUCUAUAUCUUCUGUCUGGUCUGGUUAUUUCACAAUUAGGGAGCAAAGGGGUUAUGGAACCUUGACACACCUUGACACACAAUUUGUUUUCCAUUGAUUCCUUCAACAUCCCUUGGCUGGAUUAGGGAAACAAAGCCAAAGUCUCAAUGUGCUAGACUGUUCAU